rnacentral:rRNA from 1 species
UGCAGAGAACAAUCCGAACUGAGAACGGCUUAUUAAGAUUCGCUAACCCUUGCGGGGUCGCAACUCGUUGUACCGUCCAUUGUAGCACGUGUGUAGCCCAGCUCAUAAGGGGCAUGAUGAUUUGACGUCAUCCCCACCUUCCUCUCGGUUACCCGAGCAGUUUCGUCUGACAUAUAAAACAGACAAUAAGGGUUGCGCUCGUUGGAGGACUUAACCUUACAUCUCACGACACGAGCUGACGACAACCAUGCAGCACCUGUCAUCGAGUUCCUUGCGGCACUCCUCCGAUUAAGGAGGAUUCUCGAGAUGUCAAGUCCUGGUAAGGUUCUUCGCGUAGCGUCGAAUUAAACCACAUGCUCCACCGCUUGUGCGGGUCCCCGUCAAUUCCUUUGAGUUUUAGCCUUGCGGCCGUACUCCCCAGGCGGGACACUUGACGCGUUAGCUGUGACUACUGACGGGGUCGAUGCC